rnacentral:rRNA from 1 species
UAGGGAAUCUUCCGCAAUGGGCGAAAGCCUGACGGAGCAACGCCGCGUGAGUGAUGAAGGUCUUCGGAUCGUAAAACUCUGUUAUUAGGGAAGAACAAAUGUGUAAGUAACUAUGCACGUCUUGACGGUACCUAAUCAGAAAGCCACGGCUAACUGCGUGCCAGCAGCCGCGGUAAUACGUAGGUGGCAAGCGUUAUCCGGAAUUAUUGGGCGUAAAGCGCGCGUAGGCGGUUUUUUAAGUCUGAUGUGAAAGCCCACGGCUCAACCGUGGAGGGUCAUUGGAAACUGGAAAACUUGAGUGCAGAAGAGGAAAGUGGAAUUCCAUGUGUAGCGGUGAAAUGCGCAGAGAUAUGGAGGAACACCAGUGGCGAAGGCGACUUUCUGGUCUGUAACUGACGCUGAUGUGCGAAAGCGUGGGGAUCAAACAGG